GGGGAAUAUUGGACAAUGGGGGCAACCCUGAUCCAGCAAUGCCGCGUGAGUGAAGAAGGCCUUCGGGUUGUAAAGCUCUUUUGUCAGGGAAGAAACGGUCCGGGCUAAUAUCCUGGACUAAUGACGGUACCUGAAGAAUAAGCACCGGCUAACUACGUGCCAGCAGCCGCGGUAAUACGUAGGGUGCGAGCGUUAAUCGGAAUUACUGGGCGUAAAGCGUGCGCAGGCGGUUGUGCAAGACAGAUGUGAAAGCCCCGGGCUCAACCUGGGAAUUGCGAUGGAGACUGCAAGGCUUGAAUCUGGCAGAGGGGGGUAGAAUUCCACGUGUAGCAGUGAAAUGCGUAGAGAUGUGGAGGAACACCGAUGGCGAAGGCAGCCCCCUGGGUCAAGAUUGACGCUCAUGCACGAAAGCGCGGGGAGCAAAC
rnacentral:rRNA from 1 species